rnacentral:rRNA from 1 species
UGAACGCUAGCGGGAGGUUUACUACAUGCAAGUCGAGGGGCAGGAGGUCUGUAGCAAUACAGAUGCUGGCGACCGGCAAACGGGUGCGGAACACGUACACAACCUUCCUUUAAGUGGGGAAUAGCCCAGAGAAAUUUGGAUUAAUACCCCGUAAUAUAUAGAAGUGGCAUCACUUUUAUCUUAUAGCUCCGGCGCUUAAUGAUGGGUGUGCGGCUGAUUAGAUAGUUGGCGGGGUAACGGCCCACCAAGUCUGCGAUCAGUAACUGGUGUGAGAGCACGACCAGUCACACGGGCACUGAGACACGGGCCCGACUCCUACGGGAGGCAGCAGUAAGGAAUAUUGGUCAAUGGACGCAAGUCUGAACCAGCCAUGCCGCGUGGAGGAUGAAGGCCCUCUGGGUUGUAAACUUCUUUUAUCUGGGACGAAAAAGGGACUUUCUAGUUCAACUGACGGUACCAGAGGAAUAAGCACCGGCUAACUCCGUGCCAGCAGCCGCGGUAAUACGGAGGGUGCAAGCGUUAUCCGGAUUCACUGGGUGUAAAGGGUGCGUAGGUGGGCAGGUAAGUCAGAGGUGAAAUCUUUGGGCUUAACCCGAAAACUGCCAUUGAUACUAUUUGCCUUUGAAUAUUGAGGAGGUCAGCGGAAUAUGUCAUGUAGCGGUGAAAUGGCUUAGAUAUGACAUAGAACACCCAAUUGCGAAGGCAGCUGGCUACACAUAUAUU